UAUAAUGGGUCAGCGACUUAUAUUCUGUAGCAAGGUUAACCGUAUAGGGGAGCCGCAGGGAAACCGAGUCUUAACUGGGCGUUAAGUUGCAGGGUAUAGACCCGAAACCCGGUGAUCUAGCCAUGGGCAGGUUGAAGGUUGGGUAACACUAACUGGAGGACCGAACCGACUAAUGUUGAAAAAUUAGCGGAUGACUUGUGGCUGGGGGUGAAAGGCCAAUCAAACCGGGAGAUAGCUGGUUCUCCCCGAAAGCUAUUUAGGUAGCGCCUCGUGAAUUCAUCUUCGGGGGUAGAGCACUGUUUCGGCUAGGGGGUCAUCCCGACUUACCAACCCGAUGCAAACUACGAAUACCGAAGAAUGUUAUCACGGGAGACACACGGCGGGUGCUAACGUCCGUCGUGAAGAGGGAAACAACCCAGACCGCCAGCUAAGGUCCCAAAGUCACAGUUAAGUGGGAAACGAUGUGGGAAGGCACAGACAGCCAGGAUGUUGGCUUAGAAGCAGCCAUCAUUUAAAGAAAGCGUAAUAGCUCACUGGUCGAGUCGGCCUGCGCGGAAGAUGUAACGGGGCUAAA
rnacentral:rRNA from 1 species